rnacentral:rRNA from 1 species
CUCCCGCCGGCGACCGGCGCACGGGUGAGUAACACGUAUGAAACCUGCCCGUAGCAGGGGGAUAAGCGGAAGAAAUUCCGUCUAAUACCGCGUAACAACCCGAGGAGGCAUCUCCUCGGGUUUAAAGGAAGCGAUUCCGGCUACGGAUGGUCAUGCGUCGCAUUAGCUAGUUGGCGGGGUAACGGCCCAUCAAGGCGACGAUGCGUAGGGGUUCUGAGAGGAAGGUCCCCCACACUGGUACUGAGACACGGACCAGACUCCUACGGAAGGCAGCAG